GACGAACGCUGGCGGCGUGCUUAACACAUGCAAGUCGAACGGGUCUGCCCUGUUUUUUGCGGGGUGGGUCAGUGGCGAACGGGUGAGUAACGCGUGAGUAACCUGCCCCUCACUUCUGGAUAACCGCUUGAAAGGGUGGCUAAUACGGGGUGUUCUGGCUGUGCCGCAUGGUGUGGCUGGGAAAGAUUCACUUUUGUGGUGUUUUGGUGGGGGAUGGGCUCGCGGCCUAUCAGCUUGUUGGUGGGGUGAUGGCCUGCCAAGGCUUUGACGGGUAGCCGGCCUGAGAGGGUGGGCGGUCACACUGGGACUGAGAUACGGCCCAGACUCCUGCGGGAGGCAGCAGUGGGGGGUAUUGCACAAUGGGCGGAAGCCUGAUGCAGCGACGUCGCGUGAGGGAUGGAGGCCUUCGGGUUGUGAACCUCUUUCGCCGGUGAAGAAGGUCCUGCUCUUUGUGGUGGGGUUGACGGUAGCCGGGUUAUGAAGCGCCGGCUAACUACGUG
rnacentral:rRNA from 1 species